rnacentral:rRNA from 1 species
GAUGAACGCUAGCGGCAGGCCUAACGCAUGCAAGUCGAGGGGGAAGUUACUUUCGGGUGACUGAGACCGGCGUACGGGUGCGUAACGCGUAUACAAUCUGCCUUUCACUGGGGGGUAGCCCGAAGAAAUUUGGAUUAAUACCCCAUAGUAUAUAGGGACGGCAUCGUUUUUAUAUUAAAGCUUAGGUGGUGAAAGAUGAGUAUGCGUUCUAUUAGCUAGUUGGAGAGGUAACGGCUCCCCAAGGCGAUGAUAGAUAGGGGUUCUGAGAGGGAUGUCCCCCACACUGGUACUGGGAUACGGACCAGACUCCUACGGGAGGCAGCAGUGAGGAAUAUUGGACAAUGGUCGGAAGACUGAUCCAGCCAUGCCGCGUGCAGGAUGAAGGUCUUAUGGAUUGUAAACUGCUUUUGUAAGGGAAGAAUAAGGGCUACGCGUAGUUUGAUGACGGUACCUUACGAAUAAGCAUCGGCUAACUCCGUG